GAAGAGGACAGUGGAACUCCAUGUGUAGCGGUGGAAUGCGUAGAUAUAUGGAAGAACACCAGUGGCGAAGGCGGCUGUCUAGUCUGUAACUGACGCUGAGGCUCGAAAGCAUGGGUAGCGAACAGGAUUAGAUACCCUGGUAGUCCAUGCCGUAAACGAUGAGUGCUAAGUGUUGGAGGGUUUCCGCCCUUCAGUGCUGCAGCUAACGCAUUAAGCACUCCGCCUGGGGAGUACGGCCGCAAGGCUGAAACUCAAAGGAAUUGACGGGGGCCCGCACAAGCGGUGGAGCAUGUGGUUUAAUUCGAAGCUACGCGAAGAACCUUACCAGGUCUUGACAUACUAUGCAAAUCUAAGAGAUUAGACGUUCCCUUCGGGGACAUGGAUACAGGUGGUGCAUGGUUGUCGUCAGCUCGUGUCGUGAGAUGUUGGGUUAAGUCCCGCAACGAGCGCAACCCUUAUUAUCAGUUGCCAGCAUUAAGUUGGGCACUCUGGUGAGACUGCCGGUGACAAACCGGAGGAAGGUGGGGAUGACGUCAAAUCAUCAUGCCCCUUAUGACCUGGGCUACACACGUGCUACAAUGGAUGGUACAACGAGUUGCGAACUCGCGAGAGUAAGCUAAUCUCUUAAAGCCAUUCUCAGUUCGGAUUGUAGGCUGCAACUCGCCUACAUGAAGUCGGAAUCGCUAGUAAUCGCGGAUCAGCAUGCCGCGGUGAAUACGUUCCCGGGCCUUGUACACACCGCCCGUCACACCAUGAGAGUUUGUAACACCCAAAGUCGGUGGGGUAACCUUUUAGGAACCAGCCGCCUAAGGUGGGACAGAUGAUUAGGGUGAGGUCGUAACCAAGGUAGCCGUA
rnacentral:rRNA from 1 species